rnacentral:rRNA from 1 species
GAUGAACGCCAGCGACAGGCCUAACACAUGCAAGUCGAGGGGCAGCACAAGGUAGCAAUACUGAGGUGGCGACCGGCGCACGGGUGAGUAACGCGUAUGCAACCUGCCUGUAACAGGGGAAUAGCCUCUUGAAAGAGAGAUUAAUGCCGCAUAAUACGAGAUUCGGGCAUCCGGAUUUAGUUAAACAUUUAUGGGUUACAGAUGGGCAUGCGUUUCAUUAGGUAGUUGGUGAGGUAACGGCUCACCAAGCCGACGAUGAAUAGGGGUUCUGAGAGGAAGGUCCCCCACACUGGUACUGAGACACGGACCAGACUCCUACGGGAGGCAGCAGUGAGGAAUAUUGGUCAAUGGACGCAAGUCUGAACCAGCCAAGUCGCGUGAAGGAUGAAGGUAUUAUGUAUUGUAAACUUCUUUUGUCAGGGAAUAAUGGGUGUCACGUGUGACGCAGAGGAAUGUACCUGACGAAUAAGCAUCGGCUAACUCCGUGCCAGCAGCCGCGGUAAUACGGAGGAUGCGAGCGUUAUCCGGAUUUAUUGGGUUUAAAGGGUGCGUAGGCGGUUUGUUAAGUCAGUGGUGAAAGUUUGCGGCUCAACCGUAAAAUUGCCAUUGAAACUGGCGAACUUGAGUACAGUAGAGGUAGGCGGAAUUCGUGGUGUAGCGGUGAAAUGCUUAGAUAUCACGAANAACUCC